rnacentral:rRNA from 1 species
GUUUGGUUAAGUUAGAAAGGGCGCACGGUGGAUGCCUUGACACUAGGAGUCGAUGAAGGACGGGACUAACGCCGAUAUGCUUCGGGGAGCUGUAAGUAAGCUUUGAUCCGAAGAUUUCCGAAUGGGGAAACCCACCAUACGUAAUGGUAUGGUAUCCUUAUCUGAAUACAUAGGGUAAGGAAGACAGACCCAGGGAACUGAAACAUCUAAGUACCUGGAGGAAGAGAAAGCAAAUGCGAUUUCCUGAGUAGCGGCGAGCGAAACGGAACAUAGCCCAAACCAAGAGGCUUGCCUCUUGGGGUUGUAGGACAUUCUAUACGGAGUUACAAAGGAACGAGGUAGACGAAGCGACCUGGAAAGGUCCGUCGUAGAGGGUAACAACCCCGUAGUCGAAACUUCGUUCUCUCUUGAAUGUAUCCUGAGUACGGCGGAACACGUGAAAUUCCGUCGGAAUAUGGGGGGACCAUCCUCCAAGGCUAAAUACUACUGACUGACCGAUAGUGAACCAGUACCGUGAGGGAAAGGCGAAAAGAACCCCGUGAGGGGAGUGAAAGAGAUCCUGAAACCGUGUGCCUACAAAUAGUCAGAGCCCGUUAACGGG